UACGAAGGGGGCUAGCGUUGCUCGGAAUGACUGGGCGUAAAGCGCACGUAGGCGGAUUGCUAAGUCAGGGGUGAAAUCCUGGAGCUCAACUCCAGAACUGCCUUUGAUACUGGCGAUCUUGAGUCCGGGAGAGGUGAGUGGAACUGCGAGUGUAGAGGUGAAAUUCGUAGAUAUUCGCAAGAACACCAGUGGCGAAGGCGGCUCACUGGCCCGGUACUGACGCUGAGGUGCGAAAGCGUGGGGAGCAAACAGG
rnacentral:rRNA from 1 species